CUACUAUACUAUCAAUAGUAGCAAGUCCUUGGUACUAUUGAGUUUUCUAUCGUUAGAUCCACGCUUUGAUCAUUUUCAUCCGUUGGAUUAUACUAUUAAACCAACCACCGACUCAACCCUAGGGGACCACUAUCAAUUUAACCGAGGACCACUAUCAUCCUAACCGUACAUCCUUUCAUCCAACGGCCGAAAACUCAAUAGUACCAAGGGCUUGGUACUAUUGAUAGNNNNNNNNNNNNNNNNNNNNNNNNNCUACCAAGUUGUUUUCAAUGAUGCGGCUUCCAAAUCGACGAUCGGCUCCGUUAGACUUGAUCUAUACUAUUUAAAGUAUUUGAAAAUUAAUUUUUAUAAUUUUUCGGCAUCAUUUACCUAUCAAACAAGUAGUCUAAAAAUGAACGGCUGAAAAUAAAAAUUUUAUAAAAAAUGAUGAUAAAAGACUUGAAUUUAAGAUCAGAGGUACUGAUCUUACUCUAAAUGGUGAAAAGAAUUUUCUAUAAAAAUUUCAUCAGAUUUGGAUUGUUUUACACCGUUAAAUUCACAAACGCAUCACAUCUACCAUUAAAAUUGUCAAUUUUGAGACCUUUUGAUCACUAGCCAAAUGAUGUCGAAAAAUUAUGAAAUUUAGUUUCCAAAUACUUUUAAUAAUGUAGAUCAAGCCUAACGGAGCCAAUCGUCGAUUUGGAAGCCGCAUCAUUGAAAACAACUUGGUAGCACGGAGGCCUCAGUGCUACCGAUAGUAUACUAGUCUAGCUCUCUCUCUCUCUCUCUAUAUAUAUAUAUAUAUAUAUAUAUAUAUAUCUAUAUAUGUAUAUAUAUAGAGAACUAGGUUGGAAUACUUACCAAUAGUACCAAGCUAUCGGUGCUAUUAGGUUUUCGGCCCUUGGAUGAAGGAAUGUACGGUAUAGAACUAGGCUGGAAUACUACCAAUAGCACCAAGCUAUCGGUGCUAUUAGGUUUUCGGCCCUUGGAUGAAGGAAUGUACGGUAUAGAACUAGGCUGGAAUACUACCAAUAGCACCAAGCUAUCGGUGCUGUUAGGUUUUCGGCCCUUGGAUGAAGGAAUGUACGGUUAGGAUGAUGUGAGCCACCUAGGGUUUAGUAAGUUGUUGGUUGAAUAGUAUAAUCUAACGGGUGAAAAGAGUCAAAAGGUUAAAUCUAACGAUGGAAAACUCGGUAACACUAAGUGCUUAGUGCUAUCAAUAGUAUCCCAGCCGGACUCGAUAUAUAUAUAUAUAUAUAUAUAUAUAUAUAGAGAGAGAGAGAGAGAGAGAGAGAGAGAGAGAGCUAGGCUGGUAUACUAUCGGUAGCACGGAGGUCUCCGUGCUACCAAGUUGUUUUCAAUGAUGCGGCUUCCAAAACGACGAUCGGCUUCGUUAGACUUAAUCUACACUAUUGAAAGUACUUGGAAACUAAAUUUCAUAAUUUUUCGACAUCAUUUACCUAUCAAAUGAGUAGUCUAAAAAUGAACGGUUGAAAAUAAAAAUCUCAUAAAAAAUGAUGAUAAAAGACUUGAAUUUAAGAUUAGAGGUACUGAUCUUAUUUUAAAUAGUGAAAAGAAUUUUCUAUAAAAAUUUCAUUAGAUUUGGAUUGUUUUACACCGUUAAAUUCACAAAC
rnacentral:lncRNA from 1 species